rnacentral:tRNA from 1 species
GCCCGAGUGGCGGAAUGGUAGACGCAGGGGAUUCAAAAUCCCCCGCCGCAAGGCGUGCCGGUUCGAGUCCGGCCUUGGGUA